rnacentral:tRNA from 1 species
ACUAUUUUGGCAGAUUAGUGCAGUAAAUUUAGAAUUUAUUUAUGUGUAAUUUUUCACAAAUAGUA